UGUGCCCACUCCUUUGCAUGUAGGGGUGAGUAAAGCGCGCAAAAACCAGGGUAUCGGGUGUGGGGUGUAGGGAAGAACCCAAUGGGCUUUUUCUACCCCCGACACCCUACUCCCGACACCCUGGGGUUGUGGCGGCUUCGGGAGGGGCUUGCGGCCUAUCAGGUAGUUGGUGGGGUAACGGCCUACCAAGCCAUCGACGGGUAGCGGGUCUGAGAGGAUGGUCAGCCGGACUGGGACUGCGAUACGGCCCAG
rnacentral:rRNA from 1 species